rnacentral:rRNA from 1 species
AAUCAACGCUGGCGGCGUGCCUCAGACAUGCAAGUCGAACGCGAAAGUUUCCUUCGGGGAACAAGUAGAGUGGCGCACGGGUGAGUAACACGUAGGUAAUCUACCUUUGGAUGGGGGAUAACAACCGGAAACGGUUGCUAAUACCGCAUAAUGCAGCGGCACCUAAUGGUGACAGUUGUUAAAGCGGGGGAUCGAAAGACCUCGCGUCUGAAGAGGAGCCUGCGGCGGAUUAGCUAGNGGUAAGGUAAUGGCUUACCAAGGCGACGAUCCGU